rnacentral:rRNA from 1 species
CACGUAGGGGGCAAGCGUUGUCCGGAUUCAUUGGGCGUAAAGAGCUCGUAGGCGGUUCGAUAAGUCGGGUGUGAAACCUCCAGGCUCAACCUGGAGACGCCACCCGAUACUGUCGUGACUAGAGUCCAGUAGGGGAGCGUGGAAUUCCCGGUGUAGCGGUGAAAUGCGCAGAUAUCGGGAGGAACACCGGUGGCGAAGGCGGUUCUCUGGGCCUUACCUGACGCUGAGGAGCGAAAGCGUGGGGAGCGAACAGG